AUAUACACAAUGAGAGAGAAUAGUAAUCUUAAAAAUUUUUAAGAGAGAUGAUGGUAGGUGUAAAUCAUUAAAGAUUUAAGAUGAAUGGAACUUUUGAGUGUUUUUUAGAAAGUUGAGCUUAGCUAAGAAGGGUGGAACCGCGGAAUAAAUUUUUCGUCCCUUUA
rnacentral:ncRNA from 1 species